AACGAACGCUGGCGGCAUGCCUAACACAUGCAAGUCGAACGAGACCUCCGGGCCUAGUUGCGCACGGGUGCGUAACGCGUGGGAAGCUGCCCUUAGGUUCGGAAUAACUCCCCGUAGGGGGUCUUAAUACCGGUUAAUCUAUUCGGACCUAAGAUUUCUGGCUUUUGGAUGGGGCCGGGUUGGAUUCGCCAGUUGGUAGGGUAGAAGCCGAUCAAGGGGACGAUGCUUAGCUGGUCUGUUAGGAUGCUCAGCCACACUGGGAAUGAGACCCGGCCCAGAGUCGUACGGGAGGGAGCAGUGGGGAGUAUUGGAGGAGGGACGAAAGCCUGAUCAAGCAACGCGGCGUGAGUGAUGCAGGCCGUAGGGUUGUAAAGCUCUUUUAGCCGAGAUGAUAAUGACGGUAACGGGAGAAUAAGCACCGGCUAACUACGUG
rnacentral:rRNA from 1 species